GUCUGAUCUCAAGACAGUGUUUGAGCGCGAGAACACGGCUUGAAGAUGAACCCGUAAAAAUAUGCAUUUGGCGUAACAGCAGGAAACUUCCUAAAGUUCUUAGUGCACAACAGAGGGGUUGAAAUUGACAAGAAGAAAUCGGGCCAGAAGUUGAAGAAUGCCUCUCACACAGAUGGACAGCAAAGAAGAGAAGGCCUUCUAAGGCGGACUCUGGCUCUUUCAUUUGUAAGAGUCCUCCUCAGGCACGAGAUUGUCCGAUGAAGGAUAAACUUGCUGGUUGCCGAGGACAAGAGGGAAGAACCCCUAGGGUAGGGUGAAUCCGUUACAGUUGCGGAAUGCGAUCAACCAUUAGAAGCCUACGUCUGCUGGGCUUAUGUAUGUUGAGAUAGUGCUGAAUGAAAUGGCCACUCUGCUCG